rnacentral:rRNA from 1 species
AUUGAACGCUGGCGGCAGGCCUAACACAUGCAAGUCGAACGAGUGGCGGACGGGUGAGUAAUGUCUGGGAAACUGCCUGAUGGAGGGGGAUAACUACUGGAAACGGUAGCUAAUACCGCAUACCAUCAGAUGUGCCCAGAUGGGAUUAGCUUGUUGGUGGGGUAACGACUCACCAAGGCGCAGAUCCCUAGCUGGUCUGAGCGGGUGACCAGCCACACUGGGACUGGGACACGGUCCAGACGCCUACGGGAGGAAGCGGUGGGGAAUAUUGCACAAUGAGCGCAAGCCUGAUACAGCCAUGCCGCGUGUAGGAAGAAGGCCUUCGGAUUGUAAAGUACUUUCAGCGGGGAGGCGUUACCCACAGAAGAAGCACCGGCUAACUCCGUGCCAGCAGCCGCGGUAAUAC